CCGACAUUUAAAUUUAGACGGGAAUGCAUAAAUAAUUAUAUUUUAUAUAUCUAGCGUUUUGUCCGAUUGAGUCUCGAUAAAACGGGUCAAAGUCCCAAAAACCGGCGUCGGUGUUACCGAAAUAUCCAGAAACAAAGAAACAGAGUCAGCUUUGAAUCUCGAUAUAGAGGGGCUUUAAUACCUUUAGCUGUUAGCUCGGAGUGCAUGUGUGUGUUUAUAUUAUCAACAAUAACACACUGUCAUCCACAUGAAUAAGAAGAUUAUUGAUAUGAUCGACGACUGAUGCUGUUGGAAGUGAAGGAAGCUGCUGGAUCCUCCGGGAUGUAACGUUAGUGUUUGUUUAGACAGGAACGCUCAGGCAACAUUGCUGCGAUGGAGAAGACAGAGAAGAGGCCUGGAUACUUCGCCAGGCUGAAGAAGAAGCGGCAGCUGAAGCAGAGCCAAUCAGAAAAGGCGGAUGCUGAACAGAGCCAAUCAGAUUUGGAAUCCAAGACGCCAGUCAUCUGUGAGCCCGCUCCUAUUGGUCGAUCUCAGGAGAGGAAUGCGGAAAGAGGCCAACCUGACGGAUCAGGUGAACAAUUAGACAAUCUAUAUGAAGUUUCUUUUUUUUUUUUUUUUGGGGAAAU
rnacentral:lncRNA from 1 species